rnacentral:rRNA from 1 species
UGCCAGCCGCCGCGGUAAUACGGAGGGUGCAAGCGUUAAUCGGAAUUACUGGGCGUAAAGCGCGCGUAGGCGGUUAUUUAAGUCAGAUGUGAAAGCCCAGGGCUCAACCUUGGAACUGCAUUUGAAACUGCUUCGCUUGAGUCCGAGAGAGGAUGAUGGAAUUCCUGGUGUAACGGUGAAAUGUGCAGAUAUCAGGAAGAACACCAGUGGCGAAGGCGGUCAUCUGGCUCGGUACUGACGCUGAGGCACGAAAGCUAGGGUAUCAAACGGGAUUAGAUA